GCGGGUUGGGGACGCUUACCUGCAAGUCGAACGGCAGCACGGGCUUCGGCCUGGUGGCGAGUGGCGAACGGGUGAGUAAUACAUCGGAACGUGCCCUGUAGUGGGGGAUAACUAGUCGAAAGAUUAGCUAAUACCGCAUACGACCUGAGGGUGAAAGCGGGGGACCGCAAGGCCUCGCGCUACAGGAGCGGCCGAUGUCUGAUUAGCUAGUUGGUGGGGUAAAAGCCUACCAAGGCGACGAUCAGUAGCUGGUCUGAGAGGACGAUCAGCCACACUGGGACUGAGACACGGCCCAGACUCCUACGGGAGGCAGCAGUGGGGAAUUUUGGACAAUGGGGGCAACCCUGAUCCAGCAAUGCCGCGUGUGUGAAGAAGGCCUUCGGGUUGUAAAGCACUUUUGUCCGGAAAGAAAUGGCCUGGGCUAAUACCCCGGGUCGAUGACGGUACCGGAAGAAUAAGCACCGGCUAACUACGUGCCAGCAGCCGCGGUAAUACGUAGGGUGCGAGCGUUAAUCGGAAUUACUGGGCGUAAAGCGUGCGCAGGCGGUUUUGUAAGACAGGCGUGAAAUCCCCGAGCUUAACUUGGGAAUGGCGCUUGUGACUGCAAGGCUAGAGUAUGUCAGAGGGGGGUAGAAUUCCACGUGUAGCAGUGAAAUGCGUAGAGAUGUGGAGGAAUACCGAUGGCGAAGGCAGCCCCCUGGGACGUCACUGACGCUCAUGCACGAAAGCGUGGGGAGCAAACAGGAUUAGAUACCCUGGUAGUCCACGCCCUAAACGAUGUCAACUAGUUGUUGGGGAUUCAUUUCUUCAGUAACGUAGCUAACGCGUGAAGUUGACCGCCUGGGGAGUACGGU
rnacentral:rRNA from 1 species